rnacentral:rRNA from 1 species
GACGAGCCUCACAAACGUUAUUCGGAAUUACUGGGCUUAAAGGGUGCGUAGGCGGCGCGGAAAGUUGGGUGUGAAAUCCCUCGGCUCAACCGAGGAACUGCGCCCAAAACUGCCGUGCUCGAGGAAGAUAGAGGUGAGCGGAACUUACGGUGGAGCGGUGAAAUGCGUUGAUAUCGUAAGGAACACCAGUGGCGAAGGCGGCUCACUGGCCCGGUACUGACGCUGAGGUGCGAAAGCGUGGGGAGCAAACAGG